ACUUCCAUUGCUGCAAACUGAGUUCAAAGUGCAAAUUUUGUUUGCACCCAGUUUUAAUCAUAGAGUUGCAAGAGAUCAUCAAGGCCAGCUAGCCUAACCCCAUUCCACCAUGCAGGAAGAUACAAUCAAAGCACUCCUCACAGAUGGCCAUCCAGCUUCCAUUAAAAAAAAACCCAGAGAAGGAAACUCUGCCACAAAAUAUCAGUGAGGGGAGGACGAAAGGCACCAGGUCGUCCAUUGUGAGAAGCAACAAAUCCUUAUUAUGUUCUUAUAUUUCACUCUAUAUUCUUCUCUGUCUCAUGGGCUUUAAGAGCAUCUAAUCAAACUGACAGAGAAUCUUCAAAUCUGAGAGGAGCAAGUCGCUUCUGGUGUGAGAGAAUUGGCCAUCUGCAAGGAUGUUGCCCGGGGGACGCCUGGAUGAUUUGAAGUGGAAGGCUUCUCUCAUGUCCCCGCAUGAAGAGCUGGAGCUGAUAGAGGGAGCUCAUCCGCCUCUCCCCAGAUUCGAACCUGUGACCUGUCGGUCUUCAGUCCUGCCGGCACAGGGGUUGAACCCACUGUGCCACUGGGGGCUCCUAUGUUGAAUAGUGUGAACAAUAUACUAAAGUGGACAAUA